rnacentral:rRNA from 1 species
UACGAGGGGGGCGAGCGUUGUUCGGAAUUAUUGGGCGUAAAGGGUGCGUAGGCGGUUUGUCGCGUCUGCCGUGAAAGUCCGGGGCUCAACUCCGGAUCUGCGGUGGGUACGGGCAGACUAGAGUGAUGUAGGGGAGGCUGGAAUUCCUGGUGUAGCGGUGAAAUGCGCAGAUAUCAGGAGGAACACCGGUGGCGAAGGCGGUUCUCUGGGCCUUACCUGACGCUGAGGAGCGAAAGCGUGGGGAGCGAACAGG